rnacentral:rRNA from 1 species
UGCGUAGGUGGCGAGCGUUGUCCGGAAUUACUGGGUGUAAAGGGCGUGUAGGCGGGAUAGCAAGUCAGAUGUGAAAUUCCACGGCUUAACUGUGGGGCUGCAUCUGAAACUGCUGUUCUUGAGUGCUGGAGAGGAAAGCGGAAUUCCUAGUGUAGCGGUGAAAUGCGUAGAUAUUAGGAGGAACACCAGUGGCGAAGGCGGCUUUCUGGACAGUAACUGACGCUGAGGCGCGAAAGCGUGGGGAGCAAACAGG